rnacentral:rRNA from 1 species
ACGCGUGAGGAACCUGCCUUGGAGAGGGGAAUAACACUCCGAAAGGAGUGCUAAUACCGCAUGAUGCAGUUGGGUCGCAUGGCUCUGACUGCCAAAGAUUUAUCGCUCUGAGAUGGCCUCGCGUCUGAUUAGCUAGUAGGCGGGGUAACGGCCCACCUAGGCGACGAUCAGUAGCCGGACUGAGAGGUUGACCGGCCACAUUGGGACUGAGACACGGCCCAGACUCCUACGGGAGGCGGCAUG